UUUAAGUUUUUUAAUUGUUUACUUUUAAUUUAAAAGUUAAAAUUUUUGUUUUUAAUGUAAAAUUCUAAAAUUUAAAAAUGUUAACUUCAUUUUAUAAUAACAAACUUUAUAUUUUAAAGUAAAAAAUAUUAUUUAUAAUAUAAUCACUUUUAAAAUUGUAUUAAAAGUGAAUCCAUUUAAUUUAAAAUUUUUAAAAGUGUUAAAUUUAAAAUGUAAAGUGAUCAAUUUGCAGAAAAGUGUUAACGUUUACAUUUAAAGUGUUCACUUUAUAAAUCAAAGUGGCACUUUCUAUUUAAACGUGUUCACUUUUUAAAUCAAAGUGGCACUUUCUAUUUAAACGUGUUCACUUUGACAUUUAAGAAUUUAGAAGUGUAAACAAGAUACAAGAAAGACCAGUCAGGGUAAAAUUAUACCGGAAAACGACUUGCUGCGAAUUUUUGGCAACGAUAUCCAAAUUAAUGAGCAGGGUGAUUUAACGUACACGUGUGUUGAGGAAGAUACGGAUCUCCUUAAUCUGCUAAAGGAGUUUGAUCUGGAAACACUUUUUCUUGGCCUAAAAAGUAAGUAAAAAUUCUUCGGCAAUAUUAACACAUAUGCAUUAUUAUUAAUGUUCCUUAGAUGCUGGAAUAACUUUUCGAAGCUUAAAAUAUUUGUCGAAAGAAGACAUUGCGGAAGCAGUAAAAAAUAUUGGUCUUCGAGCAGAGUUUAGAGAAAAGUUGUUUUUCUGGCGCAAGUCAAAGUUUGGAAGACGAAACGUUGAGCCAGACUUCAAAAGUUGUUGGUUGGCUAGAAAAAAACCGUCACAAAGAUUCACCUUGUUCUUCAAAUAAUUCAAUAAGAAACGCAUUUGGAUCACAGCCCCUUUCAACAUUUUUAAACGAUAACUCAGCCGGAAAACAACUUAUUCAAUAUUAUGAGGAAUGGGCAUGUUUUACGAAUAAGCAACGCGAUGCCCUCAUUAAAAUAAUUUUAGAAGAUGUCAUGUUAACAAAGACAAAGUUUAGACCAGAACACUUUGCUAGUAUUGUGGAAGAAAUAAUUGGUUUAUUUCCCAAUGAAAAAGAGUCCCAGGAUUAUUACUACAUUCCCCGUCAAAGAAAAAAAACCCAUCAGGCAAGCUCUAUUCCAAAUAUUUUAAUUUAAAGACAAAGAUCCAUUAGUAGGCGAAAAUGUCGAAGUUGACGAAACGCUGUCGUUAUGUUUAAAAACUUCGCUUCAAAAAGAUGUCAAUAAUUGGGAUAAGGUUAUUGACAAAUGGCAAAAAACAUUUACAUUUCGGAAGAAGGAUUUGGCAAAGCCUUCGAAUUCUGAUUUUUUGCAGGAGUGGCCAAUUUUAAAAGACUCCAGAGCACCAUUUCUGGUAUUUAAAAAGAACUUUAACACAAAAUUCAAGGAUACAAAAAUUUUUAUAUUUUUUUAGAUUAAUCUAGAUUUCAAUUUGAUUUAUCCACCAAAAGAUAAUCUUUUAAAAACAAAGAGGGAUAAUUUAAAAAUUUUUUUUUUUUUUAUUUAAGAUAGUGAACUACUACUAUGCCAACAUACGGAAUCAGCAAUCAAUAGAUCUUUUGAACCAAGCAAAAACGACGAAAAAAAUUGAUAAGUUGUUGUUAACAACAAUUAGCGAUUACUCAAUACGAAUAAAAGAAAUUAUCGGUAAAUAUUUUUAUAAUAAAUUGACUGUACAGCCGUUUAUAAUUGUGGUGGGAGACUCUGAGGACGAUCUUAAAACCUUUUACAUUUACUUUGACAAAACUUUGUACAAACUAAUUUCUUUUAUUGAAAGUUUGGAUAUAUGCUUUAAAAUCUUUCAGAUUCAAAAUUUGAUUUAAAAAGUUCAAAUCUUACUUCAUUGUUAACACACAUGAAUGAAAAAAAUUAAAUUUUGUAAAUUUUUCGAUUGUAAUAAUGUAUAAAUGUUUCAGAUGUUUUCAGUUAUUUAAAAGUGUUGAUGUGCUAAUAAGACAUUUAAAACACAUGUAUUUAUUGUCAAAUAGAGAUAAACUUCAAUGCGAA